AUGGCUUCUCAGCCUUUUGGCUAAGAUCAAGUGUAGUCUGUGAUUAAUUUGCAUGGUCAAUUGUCAGGAAAAUUGUUUUAGAGGAGUUGUUUUAGAGGGAUAUUAUUCCAGGAAACAAGGAGCUGAUCUUCCUGACUGUGUUUUCUCUGCAGCAUGAAUCAGCUUUUAAAU